UCAGAGCUGUCUGGAGCAGAAAAAGAUUCAAGCGGGCAUAAGAAAGCAACAAAAGUUAAUGAUUCAGAGAUAGAAUACUAUGUUUUAAUCUACAGGGUGUGUGACAAAUCCAAGAAAUUAGAAGUUAAAAGGAUACAUGACUAAGUGAAUUCAUAUCAUGGACAAGGAUACACAUCUUCAAAGUCUCCUGGAAACCUCAGCAUACUCUGACCUUCAGCUGGGUCUACAGCUCCUCACAAAAUAUCCAGAUCAGGACCUCUCUGCCAGAUCAGCAUAUGGGCAUAGUGGGACACUUCCGCAUGGAGAUGCCAGGACUGGAGAUUAUAUCUGCACACUGAAAUCUGGAGUGAAAUCAUUACAGUGAUUCAGAAGAUGUCUUUUGCACAAGUAUUAAAUGGAAAC